rnacentral:tRNA from 1 species
GCUCCCUUAGCUCAGUUGGAUAGAGCACAGGUUUCCUAAACCUGGUGUCAUUGGUUCAAACCCAAUAGGGAGUA